UACGGAGGGGGUUAGCGUUGUUCGGAAUUACUGGGCGUAAAGCGUACGUAGGCGGGCUAGUAAGUAAGAGGUGAAAUCCCAGGGCUCAACCCUGGAACUGCCUUUUAAACUGCUAGUCUUGAGAUCGAGAGAGGUGAGUGGAAUUCCAAGUGUAGAGGUGAAAUUCGUAGAUAUUUGGAGGAACACCAGUGGCGAAGGCGGCUCACUGGCUCGAUACUGACGCUGAGGUACGAAAGUGUGGGGAGCAAACAGG
rnacentral:rRNA from 1 species